rnacentral:rRNA from 1 species
UGCGUAGGUGGUCGGGUAAGUCUGAUGUGAAAUCUCGGAGCUUAACUCCGAAACGGCAUUGGAUACUAUUCGGCUUGAGGGUUGGAGGGGGGACUGGAAUUCUCGGUGUAGCAGUGAAAUGCGUAGAUAUCGAGAGGAACACCAGUGGCGAAGGCGAGUCCCUGGACAACUCCUGACACUAAGGCACGAAAGCUAGGGGAGCAAACAGGAUUAGAUACCCUGGUAGUCCUAGCCGUAAACGGUGCACGUUUGCUGUAAAAGGAAUCGACCCCUUUUGUGGCGUAGCCAACGCGUUAAACGUGCCGCCUGGGAAGUACGGUCGCAAGAUUAAA